ensembl:lncRNA
CCUCCUCUCUAAUGUAUCUAUACUAGACUGGUUCUCCCUCCUCCUCUUUAAUGUAGCUAUAGUAGACUGGUUCUCCCUCCUCCUCCUCCUCUCUAAUGUAGCUGUACUAGACUGGUUAUCCCUCCUCCUCUCUAAUGUAGCUAUACUAGACUGGUUCUCCCUCCUCCUCCUCUCUAAUGUAGCUAUACUAUACAGGUUCUCCCUCCUCCUCCUCUCUAAUGUAGCUAUACUAGACUGGUUCUCCCUUCUCCUCCUUUCUAAUGUUGCUUUACUAGACUGGCUGUCCCUCCUCCUCCUCUCUGAUGUAGCUGUACUAGACUGGUUCUCACUCCUUCUCCUCUCUAAUGUAGCUAUACUAGACUGGUUCUCCCUAAUCCUCCUCUCUAAUGUAGCUAUACUAGACUGGUUCUCCCUUCUCCUCCUCUCUAAUGUUGCUUUACUAGACUGGCUCUCCCUCCUCCUCCUCUCUAAUGUAGAUGUACUAGACUGGUUCUCCCUAAUCCUCCUCUCUAAUGUAGCUAUACUAGACUGGUUCUCCCUUCUCCUCCUCUCUAAUGUUGCUUUACUAGACUGGCUCUCCCUCCUCCUCCUCUCUAAUGUAGAUGUACUAGACUGGUUCUCACUCCUUCUCCUCUCUAAUGUAGCUGUACUAGAUUGGUUCUCCCUCCUCCUCUCUAAUUUAGCUCUACUAGACUGGUUCUCCCUCCUCC